rnacentral:rRNA from 1 species
UGGGGAAUAUUGCACAAUGGGCGCAAGCCUGAUGCAGCCAUGCCGCGUGUGUGAAGAAGGCCUUCGGGUUGUAAAGCACUUUCAGCGGGGAGGAAGGCGAUAAGGUUAAUAACCUUGUCGAUUGACGUUACCCGCAGAAGAAGCACCGGCUAACUCCGUGCCAGCAGCCGCGGUAAUACGGAGGGUGCAAGCGUUAAUCGGAAUUACUGGGCGUAAAGCGCACGCAGGCGGUCUGUCAAGUCGGAUGUGAAAUCCCCGGGCUCAACCUGAGAAGUGCAUUCGAAACUGGAAGGCUAGAGUCUGGUAGAGGGGGGUAGAAUUCCAGGUGUAGCGGUGAAAUGCGUAGAGAUCAGGAGGAAUACCGGUGGCGAAGGCGGCCCCCUGGACAAAGACUGACGCUGAGGUGCGAAAGCGUGGGGAGCAAACAGG